UUUACAUCGCACGGUCAGGUACUGUACAUCUGAUUGGUCGAGAGAAUAGACUGUGUGUCUGUCUGUGGCAUAGACAGUGGUCGAGAGGCAGGAGUGACAGCUUAAAAGGGCGGUCAAUAAAACGCACAGAUUAAAACCUACAAUACUAACAGUUUGCUGCUAAAAUAAGAGUGACCACCGCUGUUACCUUGACCCCUGAGCUGACAACUUAGUUGACCAGAUAAAACAGGAUGACUGCAUUACCAUCCUCCUGCCCUGUACACAUCUGUGUUGUUACCACUGGGGGUGUCCAUGCCCAACUGCACAAAUACACUUUGGAGAGAAAUAUUACCAAGUUGGAGAAACUGCUGAAGAAAGGUGUUGAUGUGGACUGUGUGAAUCACCUGGGUCAGACUCCACUGUUCUGUGCUGCUCUGUUGGGCCAAGAAAAGGUGAUGGAGCUGCUUCUUCAGUAUGGAGCUGACCCCAACCAUCGCUGUGAGGACUGGAGCACCCCAGUUCAUGCAGGUGUAUUCUCCUGUAAUACUUCAGUGGUAAGUAGCUUGCUGGAUGCUGGAGGAGAUCUAAGACUCCAUGAUGGGAAAGGCAGGACCCCCUUUGACUGGCUCAGAGUUGCUAAGCAGGAAGACAGUGCACGGAUGCAAGACUUCCUGGAGAUCUGCACAUCCUCUAUGCAACAGCUGUGUCAGAGCCCAGCCACAAAGAAGCUCUACAGCAGCUCAACCUCCAUGUUGUUACACCCUUUAUCUUUGCUAGAUCGCAUUAAAUCAUGUGGAAAUUACCUGCAGUUCGACAAGAAGACAAACAAGAAGUCUCCCUGCACAACAACCCACUGUUUGGGCUUUGGAAAGGUGUGUGUAAACAAGCCAUGCCAGGUAUUGGCUUUGCCAGCAUCUAUUCCACUGAUCAGAGAGAGUGAUCUGACCAACGCUGAUGAUGGAUCUCUGCUAUCUUUCACCUGUGACUCUUUUACCACCAUGACCAAUUACAACUGGAGAGGCUCCACAGUGACAGUAAAAACAACGAGGGACAGUCACACAGCCUAUUUGGACCUGCUCCUCAUAGAACAAAACUACUGCAGCCAGCUGUUCCACCCACAGCUGCUGCAGCUGUUGGCAGUGAGUCUGACUGAUGACCUCCAGCGGACCAGUCUGGUGUUUGAGCAAGUCACUGUUGGCACACUGCACAACCUGCUGCACAAGAGGCGUGCAGAGUUCCCAGUGCUGCAGGACAGAUGGCUGCUGUCAGUGAUGCUGCAGGUUUGUGAAGGUCUGCAGUACCUCCACAGGGGAGGCCUGGUGAUGAGGGCCCUGUCUUCCCACAGUGUGGUCCUCACAAAAUUCCAAGUAGCCAAACUAACUGGUCUAGGCUUCAUGAUCCCCAGCAGUGAAAAUACAUGUCUCAAAACCCACAAGCAUAUAGUCCUGCCCCCCAGCCUUCACAGAUGGGCUGCUCCAGAGGUCAUUAAACAGCAACCCUGCACAAAGGAGGCUGACAUCUACAGUCUGUGUGCUCUGAUCCAGGAACUCUACACAGACAGGGAGCCAUGGGGCACUGUGAACCUAGAAGGGAAGGUGAUGGAUGCAGGUCAGGCCCUGGCAGCAGAAAGCAGCAUUCCACAGCCUUACUAUGAUGUGGUCCUGAAAGGUCUGCAGCAGCACCCACAGGACCGCACCUGCAGCUUGCAGAGCCUGCACUACACACUACAACAGGAUAUCAAGAGGUUGUCCCUGGAGGAACAGCUGAGUGGUGAGCUGUGUGCCUAUCCAGACCAAGAUCUGGGGCCUGGGGUCCAGACCACAACACAGCAUACCAGUGUGGGAGAACCAGCACAGAGCAUUGUUUGUAGAGCUGUUAAGCCAGUAAUAAUCAAGGCUGACACAGUGGUGGAAAAGCAGACCCACUUGGACAGACAUCUGGACAACCGGCUGUACAGAGGAGUAAAGCCAGGGCAGGGGAGAGAAAGAGAUGAAUGUGCACAGGGAGAAUCAGUGGAACUCUACACUCCUCUUGGAGAGUUUGACUCAGGCAAUGUUGAGGAAGAAGCUGAACCAGAGACAGACAUAGACAGGAAGAUAGUACACCAGCUGGACGUCCUGAAGUUGUCCAAAGUAACAGUAGAUCAGCAGAUCAGCACCACUGUGGUCAACCUAAAAGUGUCACAAGGUCUACUGCAGCAGGCCAACUGGAGCCUAGACACAGUGGAGAACCACCCCCUGCUGGACCGCAGAGGGGAGGGUCAACUGGACUCAGUGACCAGGUUUAGAGAUACUCCUGUCUAUAUCCACACCGUCUCCUCCACAUCGUCCUCCUCUGUCUCCUCCACAAAUCUUUUGGGAGCUGCUGCUGGUCCAAAUUCAAACCAGUACCACCUCUUACUGCACAAGGGAGAUCACUGGGUAAAGAACCUGGAGGCCCAGUUUCUGAGCAGAGAUUGGGAACUGCUGAGCCAGGAGGAGCUGGAUUUAUGGCUGAGUCACUAUCCAGCUCAACAGCAACAGUAUGAGCAAGGCUGGUUGCUGCAACAUUCUUCAGAUUGCUACAUGAUAGAGGGACAUUCAGUGAGUGCAGAUCACAGGACAAAGGAGCUGAGCCAAUACAGAUCAGCUCCUGUCAACAUCCUCUCUGGAAAUAAGCUGGAGACAUCCAGUUUACAAGUAAAUGCAGAAGUGACAGUAGAGGUGUGCAGGCCAGUAGCUAGUGGGAGUCCAUUGCUGGAUAAUCACAACACCAAAUGUGAGAGCUUUCCAAACAUCAGUGAGAAAACAGAUGCUGAUCCUGGUGUCAGUGGAACACAGGCACAGUAUACACCCAACACUAACCUGGCUCAGUCAGACAUGGCUCUGCUGGCUGAACUCUCCAGCAUCACAUACUCUCCAGCUCAGCCUCAGGAGAAACGCAGAAUCUGUGUCAACAGACACGGCCCACCCUGUAAUAGUACCCCCCGCUGCCCAGAUGUACACUGGCGUGUGAUGACAGGUAUUGAUGAGGACAGUCUCCCAGACGUCCCUGCCUGCAGCCCCCUGAGAUCUGCGCAUCUCUGGACUGAAAGUUUCACCACACCAAGAGAAAGCCCAGUCAAAAAUGAGGUCCCGAAGCUUACACUUAUUUUUCAGCCUCCGCCUCUUGAGGUAGACUCUGCCAGCAGUCUCCAGGGCUUCAUCACAGCCAGCCAGCAGGAAGGGCUGUUCCACGAUACCGUAUCUCCCGGCUCCAGUGUCCACAGAUGCUGCAGCACUGUGGAUGGAGAGCACAAAGUACAACUGGAAGAGGAAGGAGAAGGAAGAGUGUCUGAGCAGGAGAACAGUGAAGAGAGGCUAGACAAAAUGGAGGGAACCAAUCAAAGUCAAAGUGUGGAGGAGGGGGAGGAGGAAGAAAAGGAAGCCAGGACAGGAGACGUGCUUGAGGAAAUGGAGAAAGGGUUACAGAUGGUCAAACAGUGCACUAAAGGAGAAGAGGAGGAAGACAAAAGAGGGAAACAUGUUGAAAAAGGCAGCGAGGAAGAGAAGCAUGGCUGGUGUAGCCCACUGAGAGAUGUUGGAUCAGAAGUGAAGGAAGAGGAGGAUGAAGAAGAUCUUGAUGACAGCAGGAAGAAAACAGCAGGAUUAUUUGGCAAUGGUGAAGAAACAGGCGACGACAUGUUUGUUAACAUCAGUGAGCUGGGUGCAGACACAGUCACUGCAGAUCCAGAGAAGAAGAAAGAGCCCAGGGUGUCUCCAGGGUCAUGGCAGAGUCCCAGUUUAUUGGAGGACACCAGCAGAGAUGAGACAGUCCGUCAAAAAGGUCAACCCCCACAAAGCUCCAGGACCAGAUGGUACCCGGGAUUGGCUCUUCGGGUGUCUGCUGAUCACCUAGCAGAGGUGUUCAUCAACAUCUUUAACUUCUUCCUGAGUCAAUCUGUGGUCCUUAGCCUCUUUAAGGGCGUCAACCACUGUUCCUGUUCUCAAGAAACCAAUAACCUGUUUAAAUGACUCGACGCCCGGUCACUCUGACAUCAGUCAUCAUGGACUGCUUUGAGAAACUAGUCAAAACCCACAUCUGCUCCUCUCUUACAUCUUGGACCCAGUUUGCCAUGGCAACACGCAGUGCAUUUAGCCACCUGGACAAACAUACACAUAAAUAUGUGAGAAUUCUCCUCAGUGAUUACAGCUCAGCAUUUCAACACCAUCAAGCCCUCACACUCAUCUCUAAGCUUGUUGAUCUUGGACUGGAGAUCUCUGCAGCUGGAUAUUCGACUUCCUGACAAGCAGGUCAGAGCAGCUAUACUUCCUCCUGUCUGAUCUUCAUCAUGAUUGUACCACAGGGCUGUGUGCUCUGUCCCCUCCAACCACCUCCUGUACUCCCUGUUUACUUACAACUGUACUGCCAACAACCUCUCUCUCAGCAUCAGUACAACUAAACAGAUGAUUGUGAACUACAGGAGACAGCAUGGGUGGACACCUCUUCAGCUUCGAGUUCGUCAGUGUGCACAUCACUGAGGACCUCUCCUGGUUACUACAUAAGAACAUCAUAGUCUAGAAAGCUUACCAGCUCCUCCAGAUAAAUGAGCCCACUCAACACUAGAUGAUUUGCUGCAAGGCUUUGUAGCGGAAGGCACCAGGUCCAGGACCAAGUAAAAAAGCCACCACAGUAACAGUGUUGGAGCAGGACCCGACUCUUUGAGUGCCAGACAUCAAAUGAAAGAAAAAUCUUCUUCUGUCUGCAAAUGCAGUUUUGUUCUGUUACUAGUGUUGCAUUGUCAAAGUUGUUGUUGUUGUUUGUAGUGCACUGUUACUAGUUUGCUGUUUUUCAGCAAGGUCUGUUAAUAUGGAAGACUUAACUUGAGCACCUGCUGAAGCUGGGAAUAAACUGACUGAA